rnacentral:misc_RNA from 1 species
CCGAACAGAACGGGCCUAACGGAGCCAGACGUGACGCGCCUGCUCGGGUCAAGAGCUCGGCCUAGAAUGUUGGGUGAGCGCGCGGCCCGACGCAGAGGGCCGGGCCCCAGACAUGCGCAGAAAGACUCGGAGACAACGUGGCGGCGGAUCGAGCGCGGAUUGGUCACCAGACCACAGCAUUGCAGGCUGCAGACACGCGGUCGCCUCGUGAAAGGCAGCGGUGCCGGGCGUGUGUAACGUCCGUGUCGAGACGUGUCUGCCGGUAGACGGGCUGGCCAUCGCCGGCUGGGAGCAGCGCUACGCCACCGAGCUGCCCGCCGACCUGCGCGCCUUCUACCUGGCCACAGACGGAUUGCGUAUUGCCUGGGACUACCGAGUGCCGGCAGGUGACCGGUUCGAGGUGGGCCGCGCCGAGCUGCGGCCGCUGGCUCAGCUGAGCCGACUCGGCGGCCUGCGGCCCGGCUCUGACGAGCCCCUGGCCCAGGUGGACGCCGCCGGCGCCGAGCCGUCCCCCGGCGGAGGGACACCGUGUCCGCGCCUCAGCAGCCGGUGGCUGGUGCUGGAGCUGGAGAGGUGCGGCGAGCACGGCUCAGUGUGCCUGGCGCACUGUCGGCCGGAGCCCGGCGGCCCGCCGCCGGCGCCGGCCGCCGUAUGGCUGCUGGACCGUUCCUGCCGUUGGCACCGGCUCACCGACACCUUCUCCGACUACUUCCGCAUGCUGCUGGCGCACCUGGCGCUGCCGCAGUGGCAGUGGAAGUUCACGCCGUAUGGCCUGGGGCACAUGGCGAAGACCUGGAUGACCCUCAUCGCCCCGCACCUGCUGCCGUCUAGCGGAUGGUCAGUGAGCGACAGCUUCCGAACCCUGCCACCGAACAGAGUCGACGCGGCGCUGUUCCGAUCUCGCUCCAAAAACAAGAAAGAAAAGGAAGAUAAGGUCGACGCUGAAAGCACCGAAGGCAAACAAUAGAACAAUGGCUUGUUCCCACAAUUGGAACAUUGGUGUCUCCUUUUGAGAAUUGAAUAAUUAAAUUUCCAUGUUGUAGGUACGGCAGAAUUGAAAUUGCUCUCACCAGCGUAUCCGACUCGCGGCUAUUUUUAGUGCGUGGGUGUCUGUAAACGUCUAUUGAACAAACGGCUUCGUUGAACGCUUCGCAGCCGUAAGUCAUUUUCAGUAGGUACCGCUUGUAUCAUGAAUAUACUAUCUAAGUGAAGAAACAGGGUUUACUGAGUGUGCCGACCAUAAGAGUUAAUUAACCAUCUGCAGCUUUCAAGGUACCGCCGGGGUGGGACAACCUGUAUGCUUAAAUGACGUUUAAGUGGUACGGUUCGAUAAGUCCAGAAAUCCGGGACCGACACAGCAACUAGUCGCUGAGGCCUGAGCCGUGCGUGUGUGGCCCGUGGUCAGGAGGGUCUCUCCUCGCUCGACCCAACAUCCAAAGGCGAAACACAGGUGACCUUGAGACGUUUGCAGUCGUCCGAGCAUAAUUCAUAAGAAUCAUAACCGUUUUCGGAUAAUUGUCACCAACCCGAAA